AAGCGGUAAAUGUGGAGUAAUCCAAGCUCUCGCCCUGGUGUGCUCGGGCAGCAGGGAGUUACCUGGGGCUGCUGGGCUCGUGGCUUUUCGGGUCCCAGCGGAACUCGCCCCAGCCUUCGGGGAGCGCUGCUGCCUUGAGAAAAGCGGGGGAAGCGCACGGGAAACCUGGCUGGUUGCAGGCUCCUGCCCCUGACCCGCGGUUCCCCUGGCCCGCCCCCCUGCGCCGGGAGCCACUGGCGGCGGCCGCGGCGGAAUUACCCGGAGGGGCCAGUGAAGUCUGCGGAGCGCCUGGGCAGGGCAGCGAGGCCGGGUCCGAGGGGAGAGGCAGCCCGGCGCGGCGGCGCUCCCCUCCGCUCCCUUCCCCCCUUCCCCGCCCGCCAGCGGCAGCCAGAGCUGCCUUUCCCCGCCUGCUGGUGGGUCCCAAGGCAGGAGGGGGAGAUGGGAUCCGCUCUGUGAGCCGCCCGGCUGGAGUCCCCGUUUCUAGCGGGCUUCGGGGAGCCGCCGCCGGGCUCGAGAGGAUCCCAGCGCCGCUGGCUGGCUGGCUCUUCCCCGGAGGAAUCUGCCCGGCUCUGCUUAGGUAAUUCUCUAAUGGAUCAAUGAAAACAAAACGAUGACAAGUUGUGGUCAACAGUCCUUGAAUGUGCUGAUGGUUGUGUUCUUAUUGCUCUUGUCAGCAGCAUUGUCUGCACAUUUUCGUGUCUGUGAGCCAUAUACAGACUACAAAGGCCGCUACCACUUUGGUUUUCACUGCCCACGCCUUUCUGACAAUAAAUCUUACAUCUUCUGCUGUCACCAUAACAACACAGUAUUUAAAUACUGCUGCAAUGAGACAGAAUUUCAGACUGUUAUGCAGAUGAACCUAACGGGGAAUGCAGAUGGAUAUAUGCAUAACAAUUACAGUGCGUUGUUAGGAGUGUGGAUCUAUGGCUUUUUUGUUGUGAUCUUGCUGGUACUGGACCUUUUAUAUUACUCAUCAAUGAACUACGAUAUUUGCAAGUUUUACCUGGCAAGGUGGGGAAUCCAGGGAAAGUGGAUGACACAGGCACAGAGCCGAUGGAUUAACCCUGCUCAGAAUCCAAGCCAAGUACAGACUCAGCCUCAGUCUCAGCCUCAGCCUCAAAUGUCACAGGCAGUACAUACUUUGAAAGGAGAUGCUUUAAACCCACCAUUGAUGUCUUUUCAGAGUUCAUCAGCCUGGAACCCGUUGUCUGCUGGUGGCCAGCUGCUUUGAGUCUUUCAUCUGACUCUACUGGACCUUUAUGGACUGUUUUUGUUGGACAGAAUUCAGAUCUGCCUAGAGUUUUCCCUGCUGGGCAGCAGCGAUUCAAUCUCCCACUAAGACCAGGUGUAUGGUAUCUAUUUCUCUCUAGCAGAGAUGAGUUUGAUCAGGAGAUCAUUGCAAGCAUCUGGACAGCAAUAUGUACUUAGAGAAUGGUGUAAGUAAUAUGCCUAGCACAAUAAGUUAUAGGCAUAUUCAACCCGCCCAUGGCUUCCAGGAGACCUAUCCCGGUAAACCCUUUGAGAUAGCUGACAUACAGGGGGUUGGAGCCCCUUGGGUCAGACUCGCCCACUAUUUGAGAAACUGCACUGCACUCAUAGCUCAGUGGUUUGAGCAUUGGCCUGCUAAACCCAGGGUUGUGAGUUCAAUCCUUGAGGGGGCCAUUUGGGGAUUGGUCCUGCUUUGAGCAGGGGGUUGGACUAGAUAUCCUGAAGCCCCUUCCAACCCUGAUAUUCUAUGCCUAUACAAACUUAGAGUAGGGAGGGAAAACUUGGGCAUUAGGGUUGCUGUUGGGGAAGGCCAAUGCACACAGAAAAACAAUUGUGUGCCUAACUGGUUACAAGACCGGAAUUUUGCACCCAACCAGGGCAGAGCACAGUUAAAAUUCACUGGUAUGUCUCAAAACAAGUAAGGUGGGGAUCGGAGGGAGGGACCAAAUCUGUCCCAUUGGCAUUAACAGGCAUAAAAUUAGAGUAAGUGAAAAAUCAGGCUCUUAAUAUUAAAGAGGCCUGCAAAUAUGAAAGACGAAAUUUAUAAAAAAUAACUUGUAAAACUGUCCUGGGCAUGGAAAUGCAUGGGAGGAGGUUUGGUAUAUUUAAUCACUAGACCUAAUAAGCUGCAACCUCGUGGGAUUCUUUUUUACAAGUUCAAGUGUCUUAAAAAGCAGUGCAAAUUCAACUCUGCAUGUUCACCACCCUUAAUGUAACAUAAGCUUGUUUUCUUGCAACUGGAGUUUCUAAUGUCAGAGAAAGCAAAGCCAGUAUUUCUAAAGUGUUACGGAGUUUAUUUAUUUAAAAUCUUGACUUCUUUUUUUCUUUAAUAUAUAUCAUGCAAGCGUAUUUGUGGACAAUAUUUUUCCUGUAUAAAGUAUUAAAAAAAAAAAACAGUGUGCCUGGAGUGCCUUGUGAAGCAUAAGGCUAAUGGGCAAUAGCUGCAGGGGUUUGUUCUGUGAACUGCGUGGUAUUUCAUUUUACCCCUCUCUUUGCCUCUCCAUCAAACUGGGACUGCUGCAUUCAGCAGCAUUUCACUCACAGCCAGGUCCAUUUGUUACUUUGCGUUAAAAGCCUUCUGUGAUUAAACUAAAUACCAAUGUGGCCAUCUGCUUGUGAAGUAUUGUCAGAAAAUAGCAACUCAGAUAUUUUAAAAGGACAAUUAAAGUCUGUUCCUGCCUAUGCAGACUGGGGGGAAAAUAAUAAAUAUAGUGGAAAUCAAGUUUGACCACCACCCACACUUGCACUUUAUAUAGUAUUUCCAGCAGGUGUCUUAUGGCCUGAGUGUGAGCUUGGAUACACUGGUAUGAAUCACAAGUAGCUAUUGUAUUAAUUGGAGUUAUGAUUAAUGUGAAAUCAGAGUCAAGUCCAAUUGAGUCUACAGCUGGAUUGCAGUUGGGUCUUUUUUGUAAUGUCAUAUCCAUGUUUAAUUACCCACACAGGAACGAGGUGUCUGUCAUUACUAACCUCAUCACCAAAUGUUUCACUAUCUCCAUUAGAUAAAAGCCAUUUACCUUCUAAUUAUUGUCUGAAACAUACCAAGAGUUGCAGCACCCAGUGCAUCUUACAGCCAGUGUAGUUUGGUUGCUAGCACUUUUUCCUACCCAUCUUGCUGGGACCCAGACACUAAAUAGUUCUUUAGAGGCACAUAUGUCUCUUUGAAGUUCUACUUCACAUAGAAUAACAAAAUUGGAAGCUGUUUGAAACUCCAAAUUUUGCUGCUUAAAUGUCACAGUAAAACUUGAAAUCAAGCCCAGCCACUUCAAGUACAGCUGAGUGCAACAACUGAACUUCAAAGAAAAGACCCACAUACCUCUUUCAGUUUGGCCAUUGAUCUCAAUAGCACUUCAAAGAUGUCCUGGUUGGCUGAUUUCAAUUUCAUUUUGCAUUUAAAAAGCUAAAAUCAGGCAUUGACAAUCACUCCCAAUUUAGCCUUUGUAAAUACAGACUCAACUGGAAAUCAGAGUAGCUGCCUCUGAAGUGCUAUUGAGCGGGAGCACAUCGAGAGCAUCAAAGAGAAAUACUAAGGCACUGGAUUGCUCCCAAAAUUUACAUUGGAUUGUGUAGCCUCAAAUUGCUGAAUCAAAUUGAACCUAAAUUAGCAGUGACCAAAAACUUACUGUUGGCAUAGGAUUAGAUGGCCAGUGCUAAGCCAGCGGGCAACCUUAGCGAUGUCCGCUGUUAUAGGGGACACCCUUGCUCACAUUCUCAAGAGAAGCCAAGGACUGAAUGAAUACAGAGACUGUACCAACUUCUCACCUCUAAAGGGGACCCCUCCUGACAUUGGUGUAGUUGCGUGAAGGUGUUUGCCCUGCUGCUGCCAGUGUGUACCCAAUUUACGAACGGAGUACUUCCGUCUCCAGGACCAUCAGUUCUAAGCUUCUCCCAAGCAGUAAAUAAACUUGUUAAAAAUGUGCGCGUGCGCACCCACACACCCGAGAGAGAGAUGCAGUCAUAACUAGAGAGAGUUGAAUUUUUUCCCCAUCAAAACUGUUUUUGAUGUAAAAUUGUGUUCACAGCUAAACAAAUUUUCAGGCAAAGAUUUACAGUUAUUGAGUUUUUAAUUUUUUUCAACAAAGUGAAAAUAUUUCACAGGAAAAAGCCCCUCAUUCCUGACCAGCUCUACUUACAGCUUCUCGAUUAUGAUGACAAUGUUUGGAUGACCCAGCCAAAGUAAGGGCCAAUUGUGACACUGACACACAGUCUAAACAAAAAUCCUUCGGAACUGAAAAAAAUCAACGUGUUUCACAUUUUGAAAAUGUUUAAUCUUGGAUUUAUUUUCAUUCAGCAAAACUGACACAUUCGCAAAAUGUUUAGGUGUCAAAGCCUUUCCCCCCCCCCCCCAAAAAAAAGUGUUGACAGAAAAGUUUCUCUCGGCUCUUCUGCCCUAUCAAAUGCAGGAAGAGAUCAGAGUAACAGAAAGACUCAUAAGUUAGGGGGGCUCAAGUGGGUUUGGGUUUUUUUAAAUCAGCUAGCCCCAACUGAAGCCCAACCAAACUGUCAUUGACCCACCUUGUCAAAGCUCAAAAAUCACGAAAGAAAACUAGUUGAUCUUAUAUCCCUAUGGACACAGUCUCAUUUUUCUAACCUAAGUGUUAAACCCUGAGUAACUCCAUUGAAGAAAGAGAAGUUACUUGAGGGAAUACACCAGUGCUGAUGAUUUAAUUAAUUCUGACAGCUUGCCCUCAGCAUCCACUUCUGCAGUAAUUUUUCUAGCACUUUUCGCUUUCCAUUUCUAAUUAGACAACUUAAAUCCUAUGUGUUACUGUGUGACCCAGCUCCUGAGAUUAGGGUCACCAGAUAGCCCGAUUUUAUAGGGACAGUCCCAAUAUUCAGGGUAUUGUCUUAUACAGGCGCCUAUUACCCCCCCCAUGCCCCUGUCCCUAUUCUUCACACUUUCUGUCUGAACACCCUACUCGAGAGAUCUUUUAAAUGAGAAUGAAAAGUAGAAAUUGGCGCUGAGUUGGGAAAACACACCAGCAAGGCUGCUGACUGAAAGAAGCAGAUGGAAUGUUUGCAGUGGAAUUGCAGAAAAAGUUGAGGCCAACUAAGGUUGAGGGGGAAAGAGUUAAAUAUAUUUACAAAAUAUAAUCAACGUUCAUUUAAAAUAAUAGGCAGCGAGCAAUACAUUUAUCAACAAGAUGAUGUAGCUUUCUGUAAUCAACUGUGUAUCAUAGUAGAAAGAUAUAUUGCAUAAAUUGGGAAAAUAAAUUUAAAAUUAAAAACCAAUAUUUAAACAAAGAGCCAUAUUAUAAUAGAACACCUUUUCAGCCAUGUUUUAGGGCUUGAUCUUGCAAAGUGCUGUGCAUUUGGCCUUGAUCCAAUAAAGCACUUAUGCACAUAUGUAACUUAAACACACACACUUACCUUUAUGCAUGAGAAAUUAAUUAAUCAAUACAACUAUUCGUGUGGUUAAGGGUUUUGCUGGGUCUGAUCUAUUAUGCUCAGCACCCUACAAGAUCAAGCCCUUAGGGCAUUCUCCUGAAAAGGACCCUGGUCCAUCUGCAGAAAUGGAAACAAUGUUUCUUUAACAAAGGUCUCAAGGGGUUGGCACACAAGGUUGUUCACAAGUAAUUUGAGAUGUGUACUAAUGGAACAUUCAAGCACAGUACUGAGCCAGAUUCUAUUCUUGCUUGCAUUGGAGUAAUUACUCCUUGCACUAUAGAGUGGUGCUGCAAGGGAGAGCAGAAACAAACCCAAAAUACAGUCAUGCUUUAUUGCUGUUUAAAUUCAUUACUAUAAUGUAGGGCAAUUUAAAGUAGUAAUUACAUCUGUGAUUCAUCAAAAACUAAACAAAUUAAAUAAUCACUAAACAUUUCUAUUAAGCGUGCCUUAGUAAUAUCAGCUUUAUGCAAUGUCAUCAGAGCUGAUGUUUGUCCCAGGAUCUGAGUAACACCAGGUGGGUGAGAUACCAUCUUUUAUGGGACCAACUUCUGAAGAAGAGCUCUGGGUAAGCUUGAAAGCUUGUCUCUUUCACCAACAGAAGUUGGUCCCAUAAAAGAUAUUACUGUACUUCACCCACCUGGUCUCUCAUCAGUUUUAAUCAUUUUGAGCAGACUCCGAGCACGCGAGUUCUUUUCCGUUGUUUCUUCAGCUUUUCAUCUCUCAACAAAGAUGUUGCGAGUCACAAGGAAACUUGUUGAAUAUGGUCCAUUUUUGCACUUUGAAUCGUAAUAGUACAUCUCAGCCCAAUUUUAACAGAAAAUAAGCCCAUCUUGAGGAGAUUUUGUUUUGAAACUGUCAGGCCUUUGCCGUCGCUGAAAAUGUCUCCAGCAGAUGAAGAUAAAUUUGAAUUAGAUCAACAAAAAUGCUCAUCAACAAGACUGAAAUCACCUAGAACAAUGCUUGUCUAUCGGUAUUUUCACGGCAUCAUUUCAAAUAAAUUGCAUGAGAAAAUAUGUGACUGCUGAAUAAUCUCUCUCAAACUCUGCAGCAGUAAUAUGUUGUGACUAAAUGAACUGUACUAUUUUCUGUGAACAAGUGAGCCAAAAUAAAAUCACUGACAAGUCUUCAGCUGCAAAUACAACCUAAUUGUGGUGAUGUUUGAAACAAAAUCACUUAAGGCCAAAUUCUGCUACCACACUAAGGCUGGUGGGACCUCUUAGUCUGGGUUCAAGAAGACUACUCCAGAGUAAGGUAUUGCUCAGUUUAUGGCAAAGUCCAUUAAUCAUACUAAACACAUACCUAGAGAUGAUGUAAGCCAUAGGUUUUUGUAGGUGAAAAGUGCUAUAUGACGUAUUGUUAUAGCUGGAGCAGUAGUGACACCUGUUCCCAACCCCUUUCUAUUAUAAAUUCCUUUAUGUAACUUGGGCAAAUUUUACCCAGUCGGACUGAAAUUUUGAAGGUUUGGUCAGUGCUUCAGGUUGGAUUUUUUGGGAAAAUUUGACCAAAAAUGGUUCAGCCAUUUUAUAGAACAAGGUUAGUAAGAAACAGGUGAUUUUGCAAAUGUUAAUUAUUUUCCUUACUUUUUUAUUCCAGCUUUAGCACCAACAGAGUUUGGAGCAGGAACUUUAAAGCUAUCUAUUAGGUACUGAUAUACCCCCCAUUACUGUUGUUGGAGCACCUCACAACACUCUCGUGAUAUAGGAAAGUGCUAUUUAUUCUCACUUUACAGAUGGAGCAUGGAAGAACAGACAAAUAGAGCUUCUAAGAAAAUUAUAAUGAUGUGCCUCAAGAUGGGAGAGGUAAGUUUAGAAUGCAGCGAGCAGCUUUCAAGAGCGAACUAUCCAAGUGAAUGACAGACAAACAAACAAACAAAGAUGACACCGCCAGAUGGAGUUUGGUCAAGACAUCUGACAAUCACCUCCUAUCAACUUACAAAAACAAUGUUGAAAGAGUUCAGAAAACCGUCUGUAAGCAAUAUUUUAAUUCUAGGUCAAGAUUAUUAUUUUGAAAGGAGACAUCGUAUUUGAUGGAAAGCUCAAUACAGCGAAAUGCAAGUUGCUCUUGCAAGAUCCAAGCCAAGGUAGACAAGGACAACAAGACAAACCUUUGGCAGAUCAACUUUCUUUGCCUCCCCAUCCAUCAAUUGCCAUUUGAGCCUAAUCUGUGUCAGAAUACUGAAUGUGAGUUAUUCCAAAGUUCUCUGGUGAACAUUAUGUCACAAUAGGGUAGAUGCUGACAUUCUCAGUCACUGUUCCCACAACAUCACACUUCACAAUACAAAGGGACCCCUCAUCCAAUUAGAGUGCAGGGUAGUAGUCAUUUCAGUCCCUGAUUCUGGUCAUUUUAUUCACAGCAAUGAGACUGGCAUGAUAUCAUCAAAUUCCUGA